GGGGGGGGGGUGAAAGAUCUCCGUAAGCAAAAUAUUAGCUUACUCACGAAAUGGUGGUGGAAACUCGAGACACAACAAGGGUUGUGGCAGGAUGUGAUUCGAGCUAAGUACUUGAAAAAAGGUACGGUAACAUUGGUGAGAAGUAGAUUCGGAGAUUCACCGAUUUGGAAAGCCAUUAUGAAGGUCAAAGAGUGCUAUCUGGCUGGAAGAGGGGUGGUCCUGAAAUCUGGCAACAUUGCUAGAAUGUGGAUUGACUCCAUUGCCAAUAAUCCUCCUUUGCGUGAUAGAUUCCCUGAACUUUAUAGUAUAUUGCAAUGA
rnacentral:rRNA from 1 species